rnacentral:rRNA from 1 species
UGUGCCAGCCGCCGCGGUAAUACGUAGGGUGCGAGCGUUGUCCGGAAUUACUGGGCGUAAAGGGCUCGUAGGUGGUUUGUCGCGUCGUCUGUGAAAUUCUGGGGCUUAACUCCGGGCGUGCAGGCGAUACGGGCAUAACUUGAGUGCUGUAGGGGUAACUGGAAUUCCUGGUGUAGCGGUGAAAUGCGCAGAUAUCAGGAGGAACACCGAUGGCGAAGGCAGGUUACUGGGCAGUUACUGACGCUGAGGAGCGAAAGCAUGGGUAGCGAACAGGAUU